rnacentral:lncRNA from 1 species
CCUUCUUCUACCCACCUGAUAUUGGCCAUGGAAGAACACUGUAUGGCUGAGCCAGAACUCCUGUUUUUGAGAAGCCAGGAAUGCUACUGUUCUCCUGCAGGUGAGGCUGCUUAACCAUGUUGAUGAAAACCCUAAGGUCGAUCCGUGUGGAGUUGGAGAGGGUCUCAGGAUCCAGGUCCCAUCGUCUCCGUCUUUUCCCACCUAUCUGACAUUCAGAGCAAUACCCUGAAGAUGUGCCUCUUCAUCACCUUCCCAGUCUCUGAGCUCAAGUUGGGGAUCCUUGUGCCACCCUGAAUCAGCACCGGCUUCCCUGGGCCACACCAGCUGAGCCAGUACAACUGCUCUGCCAGCAUUGGCAUUGGGACUGGAGAGGGCAUUUUGGGUCCGCUGGGCUCUGCACAGUGGUGGAGGCUGGCAUGGGAAGGACCUUGAGUGCUUGCUCUGCCAGGUGAGACGUGGAUAAAGGACACCCAGGUCUGCCACACUUCCUGCUCUUGGUGAUUGAAUGUGAAUAUUUAGCUGCCACAGUGGGUAGGAGGGUGUAAUUUUCUUAUUUUUAGAUGUUUAGAGACAGAACUGAUGAUAAGGCUUUGACAGAAAAUGACUGACAUGUGGAUUUUGAU